rnacentral:siRNA from 1 species
UAACAGUCCUAGUGUUGAUGC